rnacentral:ncRNA from 2 species
AACUGAAACGGUAAUUCAGGUGGCCUGCGGACUUCGGUUUGCAGGCUUAAACGGGAAGUCGGUGCGCACGGGUUUAUUCACCAACCCACGCUAUUCCGACGCUGCCCUCGCAACGGUAAACGAGUCAAAGCCAGGUCCAUCACCACUGUGCCAACGCAUGGGAAGGGGGUCUGGCAGAACAAGCUUUUUAGCUUCUUCACUCGUGAGCCCGGAGACCGGCCUGAUUUCUUGCGCGUGA